GUGCCUUUUGUAGAAUGAACCGGCGAGUUACGAUUUGAUGCAAGGUUAAGCAGUAAAUGUGGAGCCGUAGCGAAAGCGAGUCUGAAUAGGGCGUUUAGUAUUUGGUCGUAGACCCGAAACCAGGUGAUCUACCCUUGGUCAGGUUGAAGUUCAGGUAACACUGAAUGGAGGACCGAACCGACUUACGUUGAAAAGUGAGCGGAUGAACUGAGGGUAGCGGAGAAAUUCCAAUCGAACCUGGAGAUAGCUGGUUCUCUCCGAAAUAGCUUUAGGGCUAGCCUCAAGUGAUGAUUAUUGGAGGUAGAGCACUGUUUGGACGAGGGGCCCCUCUCGGGUUACCGAAUUCAGACAAACUCCGAAUGCCAAUUAAUUUAACUUGGGAGUCAGAACAUGGGUGAUAAGGUCCGUGUUCGAAAGGGAAACAGCCCAGACCACCAGCUAAGGUCCCAAAAUAUAUGUUAAGUGGAAAAGGAUGUGGCGUUGCCCAGACAACUAGGAUGUUGGCUUAGAAGCAGCCAUCAUUUAAAGAGUGCGUAAUAGCUCACUAGUCGAGUGACACUGCGCCGAAAAUGUACCGGGGCUAAACAUAUUACCGAAGCUGUGGAUUGUCCUUUGGACAAUGGUAGGAGAGCGUUCUAAGGGCGUUGAAGCAUGAUCGUAAGGACAUGUGGAGCGCUUAGAAGUGAGAAUGCCGGUGUGAGUAGCGAAAGACGGGUGAGAAUCCCGUCCACCGAUUGACUAAGGUUUCCAGAGGAAGGCUCGUCCGCUCUGGGUUA
rnacentral:rRNA from 1 species